rnacentral:rRNA from 1 species
AUUGAACGCUGGCGGCAGGCCUAACACAUGCAAGUCGAGCGGAGCGGCGGACGGGUGAGUAAUGCCUAGGAAUCUGCCUGGUAGUGGGGGAUAACGUCCGGAAACGGGCGCUAAUACCGCAUACUAUCAGAUGAGCCUAGGUCGGAUUAGCUAGUUGGUGUGGUAAAGGCCUACAAAGGCGACGAUCCGUAACUGGUCUGAGGGGAUGAUCAGUCACACUGUAACUGAGACACGGUCCAGACGCCUACGGGAGGCAGCAGUGGGGAAUAGUGCACAAUGGGCGCAAGCCUGAUGCAGCCAUGCCGCGUGUAUGAAGAAGGCCUUCGGGUUGUAAAUUACUUUCAGCGGGGAGGCGUUACCCGCAGAAGAAGCACCGGCUAACUACGUGCCAGCAGCCGCGGUAAUUC